rnacentral:tRNA from 1 species
GGGGUUGUAGCUCAGAGGUAGAGCACUUGCCUAGCACGUGUGAGGCACUGAGUUCGAUCCUCAGUACCA